ACUGCUCAGUAACACGUGGACAACCUGCCCUUUAGGUUGGGUAUAAACCCGGGAAACUGGGUAUAAUACCCGAUAGGUCUCGAUUGCUGGAAUGCAUCGAGAUUUAAAGCUCCGGCGCCUAAGGAUGGGUCUGCGGCCUAUCAGGUAGUAGUGGGUGUAGCGUACCUACUAGCCUACGACGGGUACGGGUUGUGAGAGCAAGAGCCCGGAGAUGGAUUCUGAGACACGAAUCCAGGCCCUACGGGGUGCAGCAGGCGCGAAAACUUUACAAUGCUGGCAACAGCGAUAAGGGAACCUCGAGUGCCAGGUUACAAAUCUGGCUGUCGAGAUGCCUAAAAAGCAUUUCAUAGCAAGGGCCGGGCAAGACCGGUGCCAGCCGCCGCGGUAACACCGGCGGCUCGAGUGGUAACCGUUAUUAUUGGGUCUAAAGGGUCUGUAGCCGGCCGGAUAAGUCUCUUGAGAAAUCUGGCAGCUUAACUGUCAGGCUUUCAGGAGAUACUGUCUGGCUCGAGGCCGGGAGAGGUGAGAGGUACUUCAGGGGUAGGGGUGAAAUCUUGUAAUCCUUGAAGGACCACCAGUGGCGAAGGCGUCUCACCAGAACGGACCUGACGGCAAGGGACGAAAGCUAGGGGCACGAACCGGAUUAGAUACCCGGGUAGUCCUAGCCGUAAACGAUACUCGCUAGGUGUCGGCCACGGUGCGACCGUUGUCGGUGCCGUAGGGAAGCCGUGAAGCGAGCCACCUGGGAAGUACGGCCGCAAGGCUGAAACUUAAAGGAAUUGGCGGGGGAGCAC
rnacentral:rRNA from 1 species